AUACGUAGGGGGCGAGCGUUGUCCGGAUUUACUGGGCGUAAAGGGAGCGUAGGCGGAAGUUCAAGUCAGUUGUGAAAGUCUGUGGCUUAACCAUAGAAUUGCAGUUGAAACUGAAUUUCUUGAGUGUAGAUAAGGAUGGUGGAAUUUGUGGUGUAGCGGUGAAAUGCAUAGAUAUCACGAAGAACUCCAAUUGCGAAGGCAGCCAUCCGGGCUACAACUGACGCUGAGGCUCGAAAGUGCGGGAAUC
rnacentral:rRNA from 1 species